GACGAACGCUGGCGGCGUGCUUAACACAUGCAAGUCGAACGGAAAGGCCCUGCUUUUGUGGGGUGCUCGAGUGGCGAACGGGUGAGUAACACGUGAGUAACCUGCCCUUGACUUUGGGAUAACUUCAGGAAACUGGGGCUAAUACCGGAUAGGAGCUCCUGCUGCAUGGUGGGGGUUGGAAAGUUUCGGCGGUUGGGGAUGGACUCGCGGCUUAUCAGCUUGUUGGUGGGGUAGUGGCUUACCAAGGCUUUGACGGGUAGCCGGCCUGAGAGGGUGACCGGCCACAUUGGGACUGAGAUACGGCCCAGCCUCCUACGGGAGGCAGCAGUGGGGAAUAUUGCACAAUGGUCGGAAGCCUGAUGCAGCAACGCCGCGUGCGGGAUGACGGCCUUCGGGUUGUAAACCGCUUUCGCCUGUGACGAAGCGUGAGUGACGGUAAUGGGUAAAGAAGCACCGGCUAACUACGUG
rnacentral:rRNA from 1 species